rnacentral:siRNA from 1 species
UUGCAGCACUGUCAUGGUACC